rnacentral:rRNA from 1 species
AGUGAACGCUGGCGGUAGGCCUAACACAUGCAAGUCGAACGGCAGCACAGUAAGAGCUUGCUCUUACGGGUGGCGAGUGGCGGACGGGUGAGGAAUACAUCGGAAUCUACUUUUUCGUGGGGGAUAACGUAGGGAAACGUACGCUAAUACCGCAUACGACCUACGGGUGAAAGCAGGGGAUCUUCGGACCUUGCGCGAGUGAAUGAGCCGAUGUCGGAUUAGCUAGUUGGCGGGGUAAAGGCCCACCAAGGCGACGAUCCGUAGCUGGUCUGAGAGGAUGAUCCGCCACACUGGAACUGAGACACGGUCCAGACUCCUACGGUGGGCAGCAGUGGGGACUCUUGGACAAUGGGCGCAAGCCUGAUCCAGCCAUACCGCGUGGGUGAAGAAGGCCUUCUGGUUGUAAAGCCCUUUUGUUGUGAGAGAAAAGCAGCAGGUUAAUACCCCGCUGUUCUGACGGUACCCAAAGAAUAAGCACCGGCUAACUUCGUG